UACGUAGGGGGCUAGCGUUGUUCGGAUUCAUUGGGCGUAAAGGGUGCGUAGGCGGCGCGGUAAGUCGGGUGUGAAAUCUCGGGGCUUAACUCCGAAACUGCAUUCGAUACUACCGUGCUUGAGGACUGGAGAGGAGACUGGAAUUUACGGUGUAGCGGUGAAAUGCGCAGAUAUCGGGAGGAACACCAAUGGCGAAGGCAGCUCGCUGGGACGGUACUGACGCUGAGACGCGAAAGCGUGGGGAGCAAACAGG
rnacentral:rRNA from 1 species